rnacentral:rRNA from 1 species
AUUCCAGCUCCAAUAGCGUAUAUUUAAGUUGUUGCAGUUAAAAAGCUCGUAGUUGGAUUUUGGGUCGGGGGCACCGGUCCGCCGUUCCGGUGUGCACUGGUGGCCCCUUCCUUUCUGCCGGGGACGUGCGUCGCACUUAAUUGGGUGGCGCUCGGAGUCGGCGUUGUUACUUUGAAAAAAUUAGAGUGUUCAAAGCAAGCCAUCGCUCUGAAUACAUUAGCAUGGAAUAACAUGAUAGGACUCCGGUCUUAUUUUGUUGGUUUCCGAGACUGGAGUAAUGAUUAAGAGGGACAGUCGGGGGCAUCCGUAUUUCAUUGUCAGAGGUGAAAUUCUUGGAUUUAUGAAAGACGAACUUCUGCGAAAGCAUUUGCCAAGGAUGUUUUCAUCA